UACGAAGGGGGCUAGCGUUGCUCGGAAUUACUGGGCGUAAAGCGCGCGCAGGCGGUCUUCCAAGUCAGUGGUGAAAGCCCGGAGCUCAACUCCGGAACUGCCAUUGAAACUGUGAGACUUGAGUACGAGAGAGGUGAGUGGAAUUCCCAGUGUAGAGGUGAAAUUCGUAGAUAUUGGGAAGAACACCGGUGGCGAAGGCGGCUCACUGGCUCGUAACUGACGCUCAGGCGCGACAGCGUGGGGGAUCAAACAGG
rnacentral:rRNA from 1 species